UACGAAGGGGGCUAGCGUUGCUCGGAAUCACUGGGCGUAAAGCGCGCGUAGGCGGGUCACUAAGUCAGGGGUGAAAUCCCGAGGCUUAACCUCGGAACUGCCUUUGAUACUGGUGACCUGGAGAUCGGGAGAGGUUGGUGGAAUUCCGAGUGUAGAGGUGAAAUUCGUAGAUAUUCGGAGGAACACCAGAAGCGAAGGCGGCCAAACUGGCCCGAUACUGGACACUGA
rnacentral:rRNA from 1 species